UGUGUAUUCAAAUAGUAGUACACUCCAAUUAUUUGAACGCUUUUGUAAUGAAGAGGGAAGGAUCGUAAAUUAUGACCAUAGAAGGAGCGACGGGAUAUCCUUUACUUUUUCAGGGCAAAAGUAGGUUAAAUGAUAAUAAACAAAUAAAUAUCUAUAUUUAGGUUACCGACAACUGCUCCCGUUGUUUCUACUUUUUAGUAAAAUAACGAGUUUUUUUUUUGGGAAUUAAAAUAACGAGUUUUGUAAAGCCAAACCAUGCCGAGAGGAAUAAACUACAAAUUUUAGAGAUGGUCGAUGUAGACUGCAGACGGUCAAGACUUGCAAAUUUGCUGUGAAAUGAUUGUUGAAGUUCCUUGAUCAGUACUUGGGUUGCUGGUUUAGAUAUAGCACCGUGAAGUCUGGUGCUCUAUCUAACUCAGGUAUAACCCAUAAACGUCACUUGGUGCUCCGAUAAAAUCAUACAAAGUAUUUGCGUUGUUUUGCAGAUAUGUAACGUUUUGGACUCUUCGUAUUGUUCUUCUCAACCCAUAUUAUUAGUCAUGUGGUGUCUAUGAAAAUGAAAAAGUCCUUGGUUGUUUCAUGUUGACCUUCCAUGACUUCUCAUCCUGAAGCAAAGAAUAUAAUAUUUAAACUUUUAUUCAAAUGUCACUUAUUCUAAAAUCAAACAUGACAGUGUUAGAGACCUACACCACCAUAGUUGUGACCCGAUCAUACCACAUACUCUAACCUCACAAACUAUAAAACGUUACAUGAUUACAUCACAUAUUAUUGAAACAAGUACAUAUUAUUUUAACGAUAAGGUUGGUUGCUAAUUACAAAUUCAUAUACUAUUUAAAAACUUUUCAUAUCUAUACUGUUGUAGACGUUGUUUUGCAAGAUCUAUAAAAUUAUAAAUUGUAACAAACAAGAUUAACAAAAAAUAAAUAUAUUGUGAAUAUGCUAAAUAGAUAUAUUCUUUAUUUUUUUGUUAAGAAUAUAUCAGAGAUACUGUUCUCAAACAGAAAACAAAAACUAAUUAAAUUACUUGGUCUACAAAUUUAUUUAUUACGGCACAAAUACAUCAUUUUCUUAUUUAUUUCAAUCAACCAAAAUAUCAAAAAAAAUCUACUUAUACUUUAUACCAAGAGUUUCGGUUACUAAUGAAUAUUACGAAAUAUUAUAUCCUAAAUUGCAUUAAACCUACAAUUUUAUUUGUGAAAAUUUAAGCCCAUUUUGCUAAAACCAAAAAAAAAUAUUAGAAAGCCAAAAUUAUUAAAACUCAUUUUAAA